rnacentral:rRNA from 1 species
UACGUAGGCAGCAAGCGUUGUUCGGAGUUACUGGGCGUAAAGGGUGUAUAGGCGGUCCUCUAAGUUUGGUGUGAAAUCUCCCGGCUCAACUGGGAGGGUGCGCCGAAAACUGGAGGGCUAGAGUACUGGAUGGGAGAGUGGAAUUCCUGGUGUAGCGGUGAAAUGCGUAGAUAUCAGGAGGAACACCUGUGGUGUAGACGGCUCUCUGGACAGUAACUGACGCUGAGACACGAAAGCGUGGGUAGCAAACAGG